GCUGAGAUUAGGAGCACACUCUUAAAGGGAGAGAGAGAGAGAGAGAAAGGGGAGAGAGGAGAAAGAGAGAGCGAGAGAGAGAGGGGAGAAAGAGAGCGAGAGAGCAGGGUGAGAGAGAGAGAGAAGGGUGAGAGAGAGAGCAGGGUGAGAGAGAGAGCAGAGUGAGUGAGAGAAAGAGCAGGGUGAGUGAGAGCAGGGUGAGAGAGAGAGCAGAGUGAGAGAGCAGGAGCAGGGUGAGAGAGAGAGCAGGGUGAGAGAGAGAGCAGGGUGAGAGAGAGAGCAGGGUGAGAGAGAGAGCAGGGUGAGAGAGAGAGCAGGG
rnacentral:lncRNA from 1 species